rnacentral:rRNA from 1 species
CUACGGGGGGCUCCAGUGGGGAAUAUUGGACAAUGGGGGAAACCCUGAUCCAGCAAUGCCGCGUGUGUGAAGAAGGCCUGCGGGUUGUAAAGCACUUUCGGUUGGGAGGACUGCUUCUAGCACUAAUAUUGUUGGAAGUUGACGUUACCUUCAGAAGAAGCACCGGCUAGCUCCGUGCCAGCAGCCGCGGGAAUACGGAGGGUGCAAGCGUUAAUCGGAAUUACUGGGCGUAAAGCGCGCGUAGGCGGCUAGAUCAGUCGGGUGUGAAAGCCCCGGGCUUAACCUGGGAACUGCAUCCGAUACUGUCUAGCUUGAGUACAGGAGAGGAGAGUGGAAUUCCACAUGUAGCGGUGAAAUGCGUAGAUAUGUGGAGGAACACCAAUGGCGAAGGCAGCUCUCUGGCCUGAUACUGACGCUGAGGUGCGAAAGCGUGGGGAGCAAACAGGAUUAGAUACCCUUGUAGUC